GAUGAACGCUGGCGGCGUGCCUAAUACAUGCAAGUCGAGCGAACAGACGAGGAGCUUGCUCCUCUGACGUUAGCGGCGGACGGGUGAGUAACACGUGGAUAACCUACCCAUAAGACUGGGAUAACUUCGGGAAACCGGAGCUAAUACCGGAUAAUAUAUUGAACCGCAUGGUUCAAUAGUGAAAGACGGGUUUGCUGUCACUUAUAGAUGGAUCCGCGCCGCAUUAGCUAGUUGGUAAGGUAACGGCUUACCAAGGCAACGAUGCGUAGCCGAUCUGAGAGAGUGAUCGGCCACACUGGAACUGAGACACGGUCCAGACUCCUACGGGAGGCAGCAGUAGGGAAUCUUCCGCAAUGGGCGAAAGCUUGACGGAGCAACGCCGCGUGAGUGAUGAAGGUCUUCGGAUCGUAAAACUCUGUUAUUAGGGAAGAACAAAUGUGUAAGUAACUAUGCACGUCUUGACGGUACCUGAUCAGAAAGCCACGGCUAACUACGUG
rnacentral:rRNA from 1 species